UCUGAUAACUUUUUCUAAGAAAGACUUACAGGUUGGAAAGCUUAGUAAGUGCGCCAACCUACACCUUGGGACGAACAAGUAGGCUGUUUGGCCAACCAAACAGACAACUGGACCUUUUUAGAUCAAAUUCAGAGAGAGUAGUAGUGUAGCCUCAAUAGUCCGAGUAUUCUGUCAUUUCUCAGUCCGGGGAAUUUCAGCUUGCUCAGUAAGGAAUGAUGGGGGGUUCAACCCUAUUUGCACUCGGACAAUGCGGAAAUGGUUGAUAAGAUGGUGAGUGGUAUGGGCAAUGCGCGCAAGAGCCCUUGGUGCCUGACCUAGUGGAGAUUAGAUUGUAUUAUUUGAAGGUCUUCAAUAGCAAUAGAUCUGAAGACCCUAAUAAAAGAACCCCUUUUGCCAACUCUUCAGUUACAGACUUGCAGGGCAAACUACAAGUAUUUUGAGGCCAUUUCGCUCUAACCGUUUAUGGUUACAGAAGUCAUCUGAGCAUGUUAAACCACAGUGAACUUGGGGAGGAGUAUUUUUGGUGUCAAAAGGUACGAAUUGAAACAGUAAAUUCGACGGUACGUGUAAAAGGCUGGAGGGUGGAAUAAAGUCCAUCUGAAUUCUGAAACGUAAGGCAGAAUUUACUGUUGGUGACUUGUACACGAGAAAGCGCCCUUCUGUAUUGAAGCAGUCUCUUAUAUUCCUCAGUUGUGUUCUCAGUGGAUUUCAAUUUUCAAGAGAUAUGCUCGUGUACAAAAGAAAGCGCCCUUCAGUACUCUUACUGAAGCAGUACCUUGUACUCUUAUAUUCCCUAGCCUUCCUAUAUAUUUUGUUAUCUCGAGAGAAUUCUUCCCUGCCUCGAGGAGAUUACUCAAACCUCUCCUUGAGUAAAUUUCUCUUCGAGCAAAUCUUUCUUGAAAGGUUUCGUUGUAACUGGAUCCUUCUUGAAAAGAUAUUUCUCCCUAGACAAGAAAUAUGCUCCUCGAUGAGAUUUUUCUUCCUUGAAUAUGCUCCUCAACAAAAUAUUCCCUCCUCGACAAGAUAUUUCUUCCUUGACAAGAGAUAUGCUCCUCGACAAAAUAUUCUCUCCUUGACUAGAUAUUUUUUCCUUAACAAGAUGUGUCCCUGUUGUGUUUAUAAGUUCACUCUCAAAAUUUGUACCCCACAAAAGGCUCAAUCUGAUGCAUACUACUGAAGUGAAUUCCUUUAAUAAUCCAUCAAGAAUGCAGCCUAUUCUCACUACCACUUAUCUCUUGCAUUUCCCAACAUUAUUCUUCUUUCUAUUCUUUCUUAUCAGUACAAGAUCUAGUUUACCAUUACAAGUUUUCUAAUCUGCUUGAG